rnacentral:lncRNA from 1 species
GAUCACAAAAAACCUUAAAAAACAAGAAUAAAAGCAAUCUUUUCAUCUGCAUAACGAUUGUCUUGUUUGAUUUUCAAAAAGCUUUUCAUAUCAAAAUCAUUAUGCAGGUUGUUUCUUAAACCCAUUGAACAUAAUGAUCGGACGUCAUCUCCCAAUUUUGAAUUCCCUGUAUUCGAAGCGGAAGAAGAUGAUGAUUGAAGGGAUUCCUGACGAGAUUUCCCGACUUCUUGAGCAAGAAAAGAAGAUCACACUCAGCUGCAUCUCGAGAAUCAGCAGAACAGCCAACUGGGG